rnacentral:rRNA from 1 species
UACGUAGGGGGCUAGCGUUGUCCGGAUUUAUUGGGCGUAAAGAGCGUGUAGGCGGUUUGGUAGGUCCGUUGUGAAAACUCGAGGCUCAACCUCGAGACGCCGGCGGAAACCAUCAGGCUAGAGUCCGGAAGAGGAGAGUGGAAUUCCUGGUGUAGCGGUGAAAUGCGCAGAUAUCAGGAAGAAUACCCGUGGCUAAGGCGGCUCUCUAGUACGGUACUGACGCUGAGACGCGAAAGCGUGGGGAGCGAACAGG